rnacentral:rRNA from 1 species
GGGUAGUGAAGUUAUUCAUAUUGGUUACACCUUGGAGUCCAGUUGCCUGGGAACGCAGCUGAAAGUAGGUGGUAAACCUCAUCUAAGGCUAAAUAUGACUACGAGACCGAUAGCGAACAAGUACCGUGAGGGAAAGUUGCAAAGAACUUUGAAGAGAGAGUACAAGAGGGCGUGAAACCGCUGAGAAGGAAGCGGAUAGAGUUAACGAAACACAAUGGCAUUCAUCUAAUUAGGAGCUAUUUGGUACACUAUAUUAUUGUAUUAUCAUUUUGGAAUGGUAGUCAAUAGUAUGGUAAUAGCUGAAAACUUGAUUGGUGCUUUUGCCAUUGGUAUGCGCUAAGAGGUUCGCUAUGAUACGUUGAUAUCAAUGCAAAAGAGGACUAUACUUGUAUAAGUGUAGAAACCUUUAGUCAUUGAGACGUAUUCAUGGUGAAUUGCUGUGUACGCAGUUAUAUCGCUUCCUAAUUAGCGCAAUUGGUUAUUAUGUAGCUAUAGUUUGCUGUUCAGCGGUCGCAUGCGACUUGCUUAUAGUUGAUUAUGGUUCAUUGAUAGCCUGCUUAUUAAUUGCGUUAGCGAUAUAUCUUGGAGUAAAAGUUGACCACCUAUCCGACCCGUCUUGAAACACGGACCAAGGACUUUAGCAUAUACGCAAGUCAUUGGGUAGUAAACCUAAAGGCGUAAUGAAAGUAAAGAUUGCAUUUAAUGCAAUUAAUAUGGGAUCUACAUUGUUAGUGGCAGGUAAGCUACAAUGGCAAUGUA